rnacentral:lncRNA from 1 species
CUUUAAUCAAACUCCUUAUAUAUUAAGGGUGCGUUUGGUUCGCGCCAUCUUUUUAAGUUUUCUAAUAAUGCAAUGGAAAUAAAAAAAUAUAACGGUAUUUGGCUAAAAGCACUAAGUAAUCUAGUUGGUAAUAUUAGAUUCACUUGGGAAUGAGAUUCAUCCCAAAGUACUAAUCUCAUUUCCUUGCGGGAGAGUGGGUAUCCUCAUAUUAAUGAAUUGGGUAAUCAUAAUAUGUCUAAUCUUUUUCUUUCUCCCUACCCGCCGGCUAGUUAGUAUUAUUAUCCUUUACACUCUAACCUCAUAUCUUUCUCUAAACUUAUUUUUUUCUCUCUAAACUUUAACUCUUUUUCUCUCUCUAAACUAAACUCUCUCUCCCCCUCUUUUUCUAAAAUUUCAACUCCCUCACUCCCUCUAAUCUCGAGUACUUUAUUUCUCUUCCUAUUAUUUAAUUAUGCUCUCUCUCUCUAACCUAUAUUUUCUCUCUAUUUUUUCUAAAAAGAUGUUGAAAUUUUUGAUAGCAUUAUCUAAAAUUAAUUAAAGAAAUAAAUAAAUUAAUUGUAUAUUUUUUGUAAACUUAAAUAACAUGACUAAAUAAUAUGACCGUGCGAACCAAACGCAUGAAUGCCACACUCUUAGUAAUAGGAUAAAUAGGAAUAAGAUUUUCGGAUAUCUUUUUACUCCUAUUAAUCUUUCAUAGUGCGAAG